UUGUGCGUUUAUGUUUCUCGUUUUGCGAUCGACUUUCGGUUGUAGACGUUGUUUAUAUACUCAAAUACUCAACUGCUGAAACAACGUCUACAACCGAAAGUCGAUCGCAAAACGAGAAACAUAAACGC